rnacentral:tRNA from 1 species
GAGCUGUGGCCGAGAGGCUGAAGGCGGCGGUUUGCUAAACCGUUUGACUGAUCCGAAUGCGAGCCGUCUGGGCUCA